AAGAAGGGAGCUCUUGGUGAGGAGAUGGAAGACCUCCUGGAUAAACUUGAUGAACAGACAUCCAACACUGUGUCCAACUUGCACUGAGAGGCCUGCCCAUUUUCCUCAAGAGAAGAUGCAACAGAGGUUUUCCUGAAGUGCUUAGACACUGACAUUUUGGAACCAGUGUUGAACGGUGCAUCAGUUGCCAUCCUCACCAUCCUACAAGAUGACGAUGCUGAUACGUCUGUGCGAGAACAUGCAGUUGGUUUGGAAGGGGACAUCGUGCUACAUAACAUUCCAGAUCUCUCUACUGCCCUGGCAUACCUCUUUGGCCUUCUGUAUGCCCUCAACAUUGAUUAUCCAAAGCAGAUGAGUUUUACCUUUGAAGCAAUUCAGGCCAUCUUAUUUUGGCCUGGUCGGACAAUAUGAAGGUGAAGUGGAUAAAUCAUUAUUCGAAAUGUAAAUUUUAGUCAGAUGAAUCUGUAUUGUUGAGAAUAUAUGGUGAAAAUUCAUCUUGUAGUAUUUUAAAAGAUUUGUUAUAGUGUUAGUUUCCUCUUCAUUGAUGGUAACAUUUCUAAGAACUUCUAACUUCCAUAGUUCAUCAUAGUAAGCCUGUGUAAAAUGUCAAUGUCUGGGUACAUAGGCAAUCGUUUGUGGCACUACCCUAUUUAAUGUGCAAUAGUUAUGUUCAGCUUUUACAAGACGGUCAGGGUGUGUGUGUGUGUGCAUGAAUUAUUAAGUUGCUGGACACUUUUCUUUUUUGGUUCUGGACUCUAGAAUUUUAACGUCUCUGCUGGGGUGCUCAAAGCACCCAAAAGAAACUGGCAACACGUUUUUGUUUGUUUGUUAUUUCUUUUCUUUUCUUUCUUUUUGUUUUUUUUAACAGAAAUUCACCCUACUACCCAUGACAUUCUGAAAUGUAC